GAUGAACGCUGGCGGCGUGCCUAAUACAUGCAAGUCGAGCGAACAGACGAGGAGCUUGCUCCUCUGACGUUAGCGGCGGACGGGUGAGUAACACGUGGAUAACCCACCUAUAAGACUGGGAUAACUUCGGGAAACCGGAGCUAAUACCGGAUAAUAUAUUGAACCGCAUGGUUCAAUAGUGAAAGACGGUUUUGCUGUCACUUAUAGAUGGAUCCGCGCCGCAUUAGCUAGUUGGUAAGGUAACGGCUUACCAAGGCAACGAUGCGUAGCCGACCUGAGAGAGGGAUAGGCGACACUGGAACUUGAACACGGUCCAGACUCCUACGGGAGGCAGCAGUAGGGAAUCUUCCGCAGUGGGCGAAAGCUUGACGGAGCAACGCCACGUGAGUGAUGAAGGUCUUCGGUUCGUAAAACUCUGUUAUUGGGGAAGAACAAAUGUGUAAGUAGCUAUGCACGGCUUGACGGUACCUAAUCAGAAAGCCACGGCUAACUACGUG
rnacentral:rRNA from 1 species